rnacentral:tRNA from 1 species
GUUUUCGUAGUGUAGUGGUUAUCACAUGCGCUUAACACGUGGAAGGUCCCCAUUUCAAACCUGGGCGGAAACA